UCUAGCUCAGGGAUUGUAAAGGCACCAAUCAGCCCCCUGUCAAAACAGACCACUGGGCUCUACCAAUCAGCAGGAUGUGGGUGGGGCCAAAUAACAGAAUAAAAGCAGGCUGCCCGAGCCAGCAGUGGCAAGCUGCUCGGAUCCCAGCCCACGGUGUGGAAGCUUUGUUCUUUCGCUCUUUGCAAUAAAUCCUGCUGCUGCUCACUCUUUGGGUCAACACUACCUUUCUGAGCUGUGACGCUCACUGCGAAGGUCUGCAGCUUCACCCCUGAAGCCAGCAAGACCACGAACCCACCGGGAGGAACUAACAACUCCAGACGCGCCGCCUUAAGAGCUGUAACACUCACCGCGAAGGUCCGCAGCUUUACUCCUGAGCCAGCGAGACCACGAACCCACCAGAAGGAAGAAACUCAGAACACAUGCGAACAUCAGAAGGAACAAACUCCAGAGGCGCCACCUUAAGAGCUAUAACACUCACCGCGAGGGUCCGCGGCUUCGUUUUUGAAGUGAGACCAAGAACCCACCAAUUCCGGACAUGCGUGGACUCACUGAGAAGCAGCAAGUUGGCGUUGACUUAGCCCGCUCAGUGUGCAGAGUGGGUUGAAGAAAAGAAUAGACCACAUCAGAGGAGUAAAGGGGUGGGGGCAAAAGCCAGAGAAGGUGGGACCUUGGAAUCACUGGAAUGACUUUGCUUCCACUGGCCAGGUGGAGAUGUGUGCCUGGGUCGGUAUAAACCUCUCUCUGUGUUUCAAGAACACACCUUUGGGAAGGUGACAGUGUGGUGGUGGGACAGCAAACUGCCAGUCUAGAAAGCUACUCCAGGCCUCAGUUUCUCAUCUGUGGAAUUAAGACAUUGGCCUGUAGAUCCAUGGGAUCCAUCAGGGAUCACCCCAGCUCUAAGCAUCUAUGAUACCGUGGGAAUGGAGAUGAAGAUAUUUCAUUUAACAUCUGGUCAAGAGUCCAAGUAAACAGGUGAGCAACUCUCUUGCAUACCUAGAGAGUGUGAGCAUGAGUAAAUCCUUUCACUCUUGGAAUGAGAAGGAAAUAGUAAACCCACUUUCUAGGCUAAUCAUGUGAUAUUUUACCAAACUCUGAGUUUAGAAAGAUGUUAUAUAAUCUGGCUUUUAUUGCAUGUAUUUAGAUCGAUUUUAUCAAGCCAUGUUCCCUGAUACAUAUUAGGAUUGCACCUCAAAGUCUUGGGUAGCCUUAGGUCAUAUUUCAGCUGUGGUUCUUUUGUUUAGAGCAAGAAGUAUGUGGAAGUAUUUUGUUUUGUUUUUAUCAAUCUUGGUAGCUCACGUGAUGUCCUUCAAGAGCCAGCCAUACUCUGGGGCUUAUCGUCUUGGCAGAAAAAGCAACUGUCCAGAGGUCAAACAAGGGCCUGUUUCCUCCCCUGCGAGCCAGCUGAGACCUUCCAUUCCCAGACUGAGUUUCAGUCCUUUAGUUUAGCCUUAAGGCUUUGUUCCCUAAUAAAAUGCAACACACUGGAAAGACUGCCACUAAGUUACUCUCAGAUUUACUUUACAAGGAUGAGUUGAGAUCAACUUUUGAUGAGCAGAGGAGGGCCAAAUAGACCAUGUGUCCUUGGGAGGGAAGAGCUGUGUCCCUGGGAUGGGGAGCAUUUUGGAACCAGAGGUUGGAAGCACCAAAGCCGAACAGUUCCUUCUCACCAGUGCUUCCCAGGCAGAGCCUCACAAAACAGCACAAUUGUGGCAAUUCCCCUGUGAGGCUUCUUUAAGAACCCUAUUUUCCCUGGUUUAAGUAAACUCAAAUAUUUCAUUUGUAUUUCUGUAAGCACACAUUUUCAACUCUUGCUGCCUUCUUGGCUGUUGAAUGACUGUCAUCACCAUGUGUAGAAUCAUGGAUCUAAGAAUCCUCAGUGUCACUUAGUCCAACUUUCUUCCCCAAAUAGUCUCUUCUAGGAUAUCUUCCCCAUUGAUGGCCACUAUGUAGGUGCUUGAACCUUUGCAGUAACAAGGACUUCAUUGCUUCAUAAGGCACUGUGUUACAUGAUGGACUAUUGUAUUUUUAGGAAGUUCUUUUUAUUGAAUCAAACUUUAUCUCUCUAAACAUCAAUUGAUCAUUUCUAGUCUCCCAGAAUUACUUUGGUUAAUGGAUCUCAAAGUCUAAAUUCAAACAUUGUCACCUAAGCAUUGAGGUCCUCCCCUUUUUUGUUCCUCUCACUAGUCUAGUUUUAUGAACAAUCCUAUGAAACCUCGAUGACCACACAUCUGACAAGCCCAUUACUGUUUCAAAAGGAAAGGAAGGUAGGGAUCUACAAGCUAAUGUCUCCAAAGCAGAUCUUAGCACAAUUCUGAUUCUGCAUCCAGCACAUGACAUUCUCCCUGGAGAUAAUCCCAAUGCCUGCUUAAUAGGUUAGAGUCCCAGCGUUUAAUAUCUGACCGCAUUAAGAGUUUUUAACAUCUCACUUAAAAUUAAUCCAUAACAGAUAUUUUUGACAUAAAACUCAAAAGGAAAUAGCUUCCUACCCAAAUUAACUACAAAAUCGGGAAAAACUUUAAAAGUUUCUGUAUUAGACUGUACACAAGCCUGCCUACUGUAUUUAACUGGACUCUUCAUGACAUCUAGUGGCGAAAUCUGGAAAAGUUUCCAGUACUCUAAACGUGGCAGAAGGUGGGAAAACAAUUUUUAAUCCUAUUUGAUAUUCACUGUUUGAAUAUUAUGUUUUGUGAAAUCGUAAACUGAAUUCAUCUGUCAAUCCAUUAUAAUAGUAUACUCAUUUUUAUUUUAGGCAUAUCUGUGGCUUUAUACCUUUUAAAUUUGGGCUGACUUUGAAAUCAAUCACAUCUAUUUUUUCACGGAUGUCAGAAAGAACCACAUUGGUUUAGGGGGAGAAAAACAUUCUGGAUAAGCAUAAAUAACAACAUUUUUAGCUGGAAACACACCACAAAAAUGUUUUGCAUAACUGUAUUCAUCUUCAAAUGUAGUUUUAAGACUCAAUUCCUGUGAAAUCUGAGUCAUUUAUAGCUAACCUUGAAUGUAUUGUUAUUCACAAUUAGAAGUAGAUAAAUUUCACAGGCAGAGAAGCUGACAAGUCUUUAAGACUUCACACUUAGUUUUGCAGGAAGAGCUGAAGUUAAUUAGAAGUGAUUAUACAUACAUUGCAUGUGUGUGUGUAUUUGUGUUGUUGCACACAGACACCACGAAGGCCUUGGGAAGGUUGCAUUUUUUAUGUUUUAAAAAUAAACAUAAUCUCCUUCCCAUGUGUUGCUAUAAGCCCAGUAAAUCUAGGAAGCUCAGCAGGGUUGAACAAGGUCAUUUCUCGUCAGGACUCCAAGGGGGAGCAGGAAGCAACCCUGUGCAUCAGAUGCUGGCAUCCUAAUCCCUGCUCAGCAAGAGCUUCCCAGGCAUGUGGGACAGGUCGUGCCAGCGCCGACACACUGGCAGACCGAGGCUCUGACGCCAGCCACGCUCCGUAUCAGCACUGCGGCUCCCUACCUACCGUGCCCCUGGAAGACGAAAAUAUAUCCUCACUCUCACAGUAAAGGCAGGAUUCCAACCGAGUCUGCUCACUUCUUGGUUCUGGUAAACAGGAAAGUAGUCAUGAAAAGAUACAUCUAAUC
rnacentral:lncRNA from 1 species